rnacentral:tRNA from 1 species
UCCCACGUGGUCUAGUGGCUAGGAUACCUGGCUUUCACCCAGGCGGGCCCGGGUUCGAUUCCCGGCGUGGGAA